GGGAAUCGAGGGCGCCGCUCGCUGCUGCCGUGUCGCGAUCCUCAAGGUAACUCUUCCUUUCGGCCGCGGGGAAUAACGCGCUCGUGUGUGUUGCCAACAAAAUCUAACAGGCACGGAGCGGGGUCGUGGAGGUUCAGUUCAGAGUGGUGUCGAAGGGAAUAUCUAAACUGUAAAUUGCACUGCUUAGGCAGAAGCGGAUUGUUAUCACCUAAAUUUUACUGCUGGCUGUGAGUUUUCUAGUCGAAAGGGAUGUGACAGAUGUGAGAGGAAGCCCCUCAAACAGCUGAGAAGGGAACAGCAAGACAGGAAAGGGAGAUGAGGAAGCUGAAGAUGUAUGUAGAAAUAAGAAAAAAAUUGAAGUCCGGAGUUCAAAUUUGUUCUGAAUACUUGCUAUUAUAUUAAAUGGGGGAUGACUGGAAGUUGCUUAAUAAGUGUCUGGAUCUUCCUUGAUUUACUGCAUCAAAGGCAGUAAAAUGAUCAAGAACUGAUAGCACACAGCUGCACUGCAGGAUGUUAUUCCUCAUGACAAGCAUUGUGUCCUCCCUCUGCUCACCGUUAAGCAGCGGUGUCCUGCUGCUGGCAGAGUUGAUGCAGCCUCUCGCUGGUUCCCCACGGUCUGGCUGUACCCUGGGGCUGGAUUUCAGAUCCCAGCUCUCUAUGCAGUACUUAUUCUCAAAGCUUUGUUGAGAUAUUCUUGAAGAAAGUAAUUUGAAUAUGAGUGAAGCGCAGAUAGGAGUUGUGCCACAGUUCUUGACUGGCAGUUCUGUUCUUCGAACUACCUGCCGUGCUUUUGUUCCUCAUGCUAAAAUGUGAUUAGCUCACGCUCCUUGGAAGUACAGUUAAAGUCAGCAGAAGGAUUACAGAUCUCUUGCGGUUCUCAGCUCUUACUUCUGAAGUGCUUUUCAUGUCAAUGUCAACACUUAUCUAUUUCCAAAGAAUACUUAUGUUAAUAAGAUUGGAUGUUUGUGAAUGUGCAUGUCGUUUGCACUCUGUUCCCAUUGGGUUGUUUAGGCUUGUUUAUUUACAGUCACCGAUCUGCUCUCCAACAGUCACCAUUAGGUUGCAGGCAUUAAAUGCCUCUGUAGUCCUGUCUGCUUUCUCACCCUUAGGAAGACUGUCACAGCUGCCUUGAGUUCUGCAGCCUCCACUUCUUUACCUACAGCUGUCUAGGAUCAGGUUGCUCUCUCGCAAGGUUCAGCUUUGAGUCUUGAUCAGCCUUGAUGAAAGGAUGCAGUUUGGGGAUGGUUCCAUGUAUCUUGUUGGCCUUCUGGAUGCUGGCCUGGGCAGCACUGAGGUCCCAGCGUGGGCUUGCAGAGCAAUGACUGUUUGACUUAUUUUCUGUUGCACACUCUAAUGCUGAGAGAACUGAGCUGAGGCUCCUGAUUAAUGCUGUCCUGUAGACUUGUUCCUUAUGAGUUAUUAUGAUGGGAAGAAUGGCUAUAGAGCUUGGCUGAGAAAUGUGGAGGAGUGCUCUGGAAACUGAUGUCUUCACGCAGAAGCUAGCAUGGAGAGCUGAGGCCUGAUGUCUGGUCCAUGCAAGUUGCAGUUGUUGAAAGAGCUGUCAAAUCUUUUGGCCUUUCCCUACAUUUCUGGUGCUGUUACUGCACUCUUCACUCAACUGGGCAGCAGUCUGAAACAACUGAACAAAGGGACUUGAGAGGAUGUACCGGCAGGAGCUGUUAUCUCUGACAUCACGGGGCCUUCACAAGUUUAUAUCUUGGAGCGGUCCGUCGGAAAACUGUUGGCUUCCUUCUGCAGUGCUGUAGUGAAAUUCUUAGUGUUCAGCUUCUUUUAUUAAAGGCUUUUAUAUUUCUUUCUCUGUAGUAAACCAGCGCAUGUACUAUUAGCCGAGGCUGCUCAAGUUUCCUUGUCACGCUGCAUCAGUUCUAUUGGUUUGUAUCUUAACAGAAGUAACUUUACACAAUAGCGGGCAUGUCUUUGCUAUGGAAAAAGUUAUCAGUAGGUAAGAGACCUUCUAUUUAAGCCCUACAAUGUUAUUUUCUUGUGAGGCUAAAUAAAAGCUUUGGGCAGGAGCUCCUGUAAUUAAAGUAAGUCUUCCAAACCGAACUACCAAAGAACAUAACAAAUUUAAUGUUUGUGUACAGUGCUUUCUAUCCAAAGAGAGAUGGGGUAAACACUGUCUAAGCAUCUCUAGCCUGCCAAAUGGAAGGUAGCCCAUGGAGAUAUCAAUACUGCAUAGAAAAUACACCAAACCUGAAAUUAUGAUUUGUUCAAAUGGGUUUGCUGCUGGUGGCUAAAUAUUGUUCUUUGCUAUUUCUUUUGGUGUUAGAAACUGAUAUUUUAAUCAUGCUGGCCUAUGAUCAGCUGCAUAGAAGAAUAGUUCCUCCAGCUAGUCGCUGUACAGAUGUAGUUGUACUAAAUACAUCUUAUUGCUGUUUCACUGUAAUUGACUGUUAAUGGAUUGCCAUCUGAGCGUGCUGUCUGGUAUCGACUACUGUUUUUCCUGAAAUUGAUUGCUUUUCACUGUUAGCUCAAUCUCUUGCCAACCUUAACUGUUUUAAGAUAGCUUUCCCAAUUCCCAUAAUUUUGUGUCCUGUUAUUUUGAGUUCAUCUAUGUUCUCCUUUUAGUUCUUGCUUUGUCUCAAUUAUGCACUUGCCCUCCCAGCCUCCCAGUUGAGUCUGCCUUUAAGGUCUUAAGACUGUUUUCAAAACAUGCCUUCUUGCACUACUUGGUGCGUAGUUCUUGCUGCUGUCCUUUUCCUUGCUCUGUUGCUACUACUAUGCUCUUUUCUGUGCUAUAAGAGAAGUUCAUGAAAGUGAACCUACUGACUGGAGACUUGUUAGAAAACAGUGUUUUGUAGCUGAAAAUUUGCUCUAUCAAAUAGUGUUCCUGUGCUCUCUUUAUUGAUUAUAGUUUCCAUGAAAAUAAAUAGGAAGCAUUAGUUUUGGAGCAACUUAUGCAGCUCAAGACAAUUCCACUUUACUCACUGUGGCCCAGGCAAGCCAAAAGGUUGGACACUAAUGGCUUAUGGCAUGUCUUCUGCUCACCCACUCAAACCUCCUCCAUUCUUCAGACUAAUUUUUUUCUUCUGCCUUCUGUGCCAUACUGCAUGGCUUUUAUUAUUCUUCUUUCCCCUAAGUACUGUUUUUACUGAUUUGUUAGAUGCAAUGUCUUCAGAGUAAAUGGAACAGAUGUGUGCAUGGACAUAUCUGCAUGGGACAGUCUUUGAUGUUUGCAUGUGUACAAUCUCUGAAAUCCCGCUUCUGACAUAUGUAAUUCUGGUGCUGCUCAGCAUAUCAGAAAUUGAAGCCAUACUGAAAGGCCUAGCUUCAGGGAAAUCAAAACACCUGUGUUGAACCUAAGCAGUCAGCCCCUGUGACUUUUGCAUGGAGUACAUCUCUGCUUGGGGGAAGCUUGUGGGAAUAGCACUCGUCCUCAGCAGACCAUGUUUUUGUGGUAGUACAAGCAGUUUAGACUCUGACUUGUUCCUGCAAGUGGGCAAGCCAAAUACAGACAGAAAGAAGCUAGGUUACUAGAAAAGCUGCCUCCUGAGUGCUCUGCUUGUGACUGGGCGGACUUUUGUGCAUGUACUGAGGUAGGUAGCAGAUUUUCAGCAGACAUCAUAACAAGUUUACCACUCUGUCUACUGAGCUGCGAUAAUCAAGGGAGACAAACAGAGCUUCUUCCAAAGGUGUAUGGGAGCUGUACCUCUUAAAAGCAUACUUGAGACAUGUAGUGUCAGUCUUUUACCUUUGAAUUCUGCUAGCAUCAAACUUGUAUGCAUUUCUUUCCCAUAGGGAACAACUUUUUCCUAAUAUUUCUCUCCCCUCUCUGCUCUGUAGAUAUUACCACUGUUCGUGGUACAGACUGCAGUCUCCUAAAUGCUGCAUUCUUCCUUAUGUACUGUUCCAUUAUUAAGGCUGAAAAAAUGUUUCUCCUGAUCAAAGCAUAUGCUGGUUGUUUCAUGGCAGCUCAACUCUCCACAGCCAGUUUGCAAGAAAUUAACUCAAUCUGGAUGUGUUAAAAGCUAACUUUCUCAGAACUAAGGGAAGAGAAUAGAUAAAUGCAAGUCUGCUGUGGUAUCUGCAAACAGUGCUCAGAAAACAGGUCUAACUGGAGCGUGUGAUUACACAGUCAGACUGGGGGGAACUGUGGUGAGGGGUGGUGAGUAGAGGAGUUCCCAUAGCUGCUGCAAGCGUGUCUCAGUCCUCUAAGACUCUCCUGGAGCAAAUAAAUUGGACGAUUAACUUGUUACCAUGAUGGGUGUUGAGCCCGACCUCCCAUCUCUUCAAAAAUACCAUGCUAAAACAAAACUCAACUUCCAUAGCAUUGUAGAACAUUUGUUUUCUUUUCAAUCUGCUGUAACUGUGUGGUAUGUUGGGUAGGUGGUGGGUGUCAGGGUAUGAUAUGUCCCUGCACUUACAGAGGUCUCAUUGCUGAAUCUUUUCCUUUUCAAGAUGAUGUACUUAACACAGAGAAGAAAGGACUAAGAACUCAUGCUCAACCAAAUGUGAAGGCCUUCUUAAGCUAGUUGCUGUCUUCGAAGCCAGGUGUACAUGAAGCAUACCCUAAGGUGGUUGUUGCAUGGUUUGUGUGUUAGCAGGUGCCUUGGUGGGUGUUGCUAAAGAUUGUGUUCCAGGCUACAGUUGAUAUCUAAAACCAGAUCUGUGGGAAGGGGUUGGAGACAUUCAUCUGGCUUUCCUUUUGGCUUCUGUCUUGACAUCCUUCUGCAGUAAUCAGCUCUUUCUUUGCUAUUGUUGUGGUUGUUGUUGAAUGAGAAAUACACGGUGUGCUGUGUCCAGGAUUUGUGCCUUCAACAUGCCAGCACACUGUUUGUUGUCUCCAGGAAAUCAGACUCUAAUUCAGAGCUGUAAUUUUUUUUUCUGUAAUACAGAAAAGUAAUUACAGAAGCUCUUCUGCCUUUGAGGGGCAUUCCUGGACCUGUUACCAGCUUUUGCAGGUGCUUGGUAGAAAUCUUGAAGUAUGGGGCUAAUGUAACUAUGAAGAUGUGUUGUGAAUAAAUAAUAAUAGCUGUUGCCUUUUGAACUUCCUGGGAGAGACUGAUAUUUUGACAUUUGAGGGCUUCAAUGGUAAGGUUAGCUUCCUGAUGUACAGAAACUCCUGGCAACACAGUAGCCUCUCUAUAGAUUUUCUUCAAGGGGCAAACUGGUAACUUUGCUCCUCUGGCCUCUCUAGUAAGAGGGAGGAGCCUCAGAAACUGCUGGAGAGUCGCUUGAAGAGAUUUGACAUACACAAUUGUUGGGUGUACUGAAGCAUUGACAAGCUCUCUAAAAUGUCUGGACUUAUUUCAUGAAAAGCAGAAAACCUUCAAAGAAACUUGGUCUAUGUGUUAUGGAAUGCUCUGUUGAAGUUCCUGGAAA